UGGCUACACUGCGGGUGCUUAGAACUCUUUUUUCUGUUUAUAUUCUCACAAAUUGAGAUAUGGCGGAAUUAAGGAGAUUUCAAAGCUGAGACUUUACCGUAAUAACUCGAUCAAGUUAAUACUUGCGUGAGGAACGUGUGACCGCUUCCCC
rnacentral:ncRNA from 1 species